rnacentral:tRNA from 1 species
GUGGUGUAGUGGUUACCACGUCCGCCUUGAACGCGGGAGACCGAGGUUCGAGUCCUCGCCA